CAAAGUUCUUCAGACCAUCGAUGAGAUGAUCACUGAGAGAAGUUACAGCAAUUGUGCAGAGAGGCAAGAUGGAGUCACAGAGGUUUACUUUCUCACCUGAAACAACCAAAAGUAUCCUAUAUAUAUGUGAAACAAUUUUUUUCAAGACAUUAUCUAACUAAGGCAAUGAAGGACAAUGAUCCCUCAGAAAGAAAUGUGAUUACUAUCAAGUGGUCAUAUCUUAAUCCAUCAUCUAUUUUCUGACCCUCACCUGCCUAUUUCCACCAGUAACAGAGGCCAACAUAAGACCAGUUCCUUUUCAUCUUCAAUGGGAAUGACAUACAACCAACUAAACAUCCAAAUACUACAAAUCCAUCCCAGUGAGUGUGCAGUGAUAUCUCAUUGUGGUUUGGAUUUACAUUUCCCUAAAGACUAAUAAUGUUGACCAUCUUUCAUGUGCUUAUUGACCACUUGUAUAUCUUUUUGGAAGAUAACUCUACAU